GUUAAUUGAACACACAAGUCACCACUGAAUUGCCAAGAUCAGCAGAAAUAAGUAUUUCAUUCUUCGAUUAAUCUACUAUCUCUCAGCAGAAGAAAAGAACAUACAAAAUGUAUUAGCAUCUAAUCCCCUAACUGACACAACAGAACAUCAAAGAAAUCGAAAAUACAUUUAUGUAUGUCAUACAAAAGCUUAUGCAAGUAGAAGUAAAGAGAAAAGCAUACCCUUUUCUUUUCUCUCUCUUUCUCUAAUAUUCAGAAUCCGAUGGUAUAUUUGAAACAUCGAUAGGAAAGGGAUCUAUAGGAAAAUGUGAAGAAGCGGUAGGAAAAGGAUCAAUAGGUAAUUGUGAAGAAUUGGUAGGAAAGGGGUCGAAAGGUAAAUGUGAAGUAUCGGUAGUAAAAGGAUCCAUAGGUAAUUGUGUAGAAUUGGUAGGAAAAGGAUCCAUAGGUGAUUGUGAAGAAUCAGUAGGAAAAGGAUCGAUGGUGAAUAGUGGGGAUUCCGAUGGCGCAAGAGCAGAAGUAGCCACAGAAGCAGCAGGUGCUGCCUCAGAUUCCUCCUGCAUCAACUUCUGCAAUCCAGGUUUCAAUUCCCUGUUA
rnacentral:lncRNA from 1 species